ACAUCUAUCUGGCCUCUUCGUUGUUCACGGUGAAACCUCUCGCCGGGCGGCACCCCAUUUGAUCAAAAUGGUUUUAUAUCAGUUUUACAUGUUUCUGUGGACAAGGACCUGUGAAGAGAUGAUGAAAAUGGGUGAGGAUGGACCUUGAUGAUCAGUGGAGGAGCAGGAGGCUUCUAAGUUCCAAGGGUUGUGGAACCAUCUUGCCGAACCUAAAACCAGCUGGUUAACUAUUCAAGUACAUAUUGGUUCAAAGAAGAUUUGAUUCAACAUCCAUUAUCACAAUCAAUUGGGGCAUUGUUUUGUGGAUUUCUUUUGGCAGAGUAGUUGCCCUCCGUUGGUGGAUUCUAAUGGAAUUUCUCUUGAACAAAAUUGGCUUCGAGCUUCGUUAAUGGCGGCCAAGACUCAAGGAAACGAAAUUGGUAUCGACAUGGGUACAUGCAACUCAUGAAUCGGUCAUUUCCAGGAAGAUUACGGAUUCAAAUCGGUCAAAAGCGGUUAUUAAAUUUUUUUUUUUUUUGAGUGAAUGACUCGGUGUAAAUCCGUACCUCCACCACUGUUACAUAAAGGUUUUUUUUUUUUUUUCUGUGGAUCAGAUCGAAGAUUAAGUAAGUGGAACGUGGAUGCUGUUAAAUUAAUCUAUUGCUAUUGCAUCAUUUUGUGACCAAACACUGUGCAAAGGAAUACAAUAUAGAAAUAACAAUUUUGAUAUUCUCAACUCUCA